rnacentral:rRNA from 1 species
AUUGAACGCUGGCGGCAGGCCUAACACAUGCAAGUCGAGCGGCAGCGGGAAAGUAGCUUGCUACUUUUGCCGGCGAGCGGCGGACGGGUGAGUAAUGCCUGGGAAAUUGCCCAGUCGAGGGGGAUAACAGUUGGAAACGACUGCUAAUACCGCAUACGCCCUACGGUGGAACGCAGGGGACCUUCGGGCCUUGCGCGAUUGGAUAUGCCCAGGUGGGAUUAGCUAGUUGGUGAGGUAAUGGCUCACCAAGGCGACGAUCCCUAGCUGGUCUGAGAGGAUGAUCAGCCACACUGGAACUGAGACACGGUCCAGACUCCUACGGGAGGCAGCAGUGGGGAAUAUUGCACAAUGGGGGAAACCCUGAUGCAGCCAUGCCGCGUGUGUGAAGAAGGCCUUCGGGUUGUAAAACACUUUCAGCGAGGAGGAAAGGUUGUUGGCUAAUAUCCAACAGCUGUGACGUUACUCGCAGAAGAAGCACCGGCUAACUCCGUGCCAGCCGCCGCCGUAAGAC